GACGAACCGUGCGAACGUUGUUCGGAAUCACUGGGCUUAAAGGGCGCGUAGGCGGUCUGCCAAGUCCGGGGUGAAAUCCUCCAGCUUAACUGGAGAAGUGCCCUGGAUACUGGCGGACUCGAGGGAGGCAGGGGUUGUGGGAACUUCCGGUGGAGCGGUGAAAUGCGUUGAUAUCGGAAGGAACGCCGGUGGCGAAAGCGCACAACUGGUCCUCUUCUGACGCUGAGGCGCGAAAGCCAGGGGAGCAAACGGG
rnacentral:rRNA from 1 species